AUCCUGGCUCAGGAUGAACGCUAGCUACAGGCUUAACACAUGCAAGUCGAGGGGCAGCAUGACGAGUGCUUGCACUUGUUGAUGGCGACCGGCGCACGGGUGCGUAACGCGUAUCGAACUUCCCCUUACUCGGGAAUAGCCCGGUGAAAACCGAAUUAAUGCCCGAUAUAUAUUUAGAUGGCAUCAGAAGAGUAUGAAAGAUUUAUCGGUAAGGGAUGGCGAUGCGUAGGAUUAGGUAGUCGGCGGGGUAACGGCCCACCGAGCCUACGAUCCUUAGGGGUUCUGAGAGGAAGGUCCCCCACAUUGGAACUGAGACACGGUCCAAACUCCUACGGGAGGCAGCAGUGAGGAAUAUUGGUCAAUGGGCGAGAGCCUGAACCAGCCAAGUAGCGUGCAGGAAGACGGCCCUAUGGGUUGUAAACUGCUUUUAUAGGGGAAUAAAGUUGUGUACGUGUACUCAUUUGUAUGUACCCUAUGAAUAAGGACCGGCUAAUUCCGUGCC
rnacentral:rRNA from 1 species